rnacentral:rRNA from 1 species
CUAGUAAUCGUAGAUCAGCAUGCUACGGUGAAUACGUUCCCGGGCCUUGUACACACCGCCCGUCACACCAUGAGAGUUGGGAAUACCCGAAGCCUGUGAGCUAACGUUAAGAGGCAGCAGUCGAAGGUAGAAUCAAUGAUUGGGGUGAAGUCGUAACAAGGUAAC